rnacentral:lncRNA from 1 species
CCGGGGCCGCCGCUUGGAGGAAGCUUCUUUUCCCGCGCAUCGCGCGCGAGCGCGGGUGGCAGAGAAGGAAGUGACGCAUCGCAUCGCGAUUUUAUUGGCUGUAGACACGCCCAGCAUCUUCUUGAGCUCCUCCCUGAGGUGGAUGGGCAGCUAGCUGCAGGUGGCACAGGAUGAUACACAUCUUUUCUCACGCCGCUUUGCCCUCUAGCUCCAAGAUCUCGGCUGCCAGAUGCAGCGACAGAGCUUCUUUGUACAUACAGCCCUGGACACACUUUCAGCAGCAACUCUUCUUGCGCGAGCUGGUGCAAGAACAGGAUUCAUCUGUGGCACAGGAACAGUUGGUGUCAACCGAUGGAGGCAGAGGAGAGACCAGAGCCGUGACUUCAACUGAAGUGGAGUAAAUAAAGAUGAUUGCAGAACUUGGAAGCUGACGAAAUCAGUUUUGGAAAAGAGCUGGCUUGGAGCGUGACAGAAGGGAGAGAUGGAAAGAAUGCUGGGAGUCCAACUCAAGACUGAUGUGUGCUUGGCAGGCAGUCUACCCCAGUCUCAGUCCUCUAGCCUUUUGGCCUUUUUUCCUUUUUGGAGACAGGAUUGCAUCAUAGGGCAGCCUGGCCUCCUACACAGUCCUGCCUCAGUCUCUGGAGUGCUGGGAUUGUAGGCCUAUACCACCGCGCCUUUCUACAAUACAAACAGGAAAGGAAGAGGGGCUUCUUUGGAAAGGAGUAAAAGGACCAUGGAAGAGAUAAGAAGAUAAUGUUGUCAGAAAUUAUGCUGCUUGUGAAGAGGUAAACUGAACCCUUUUGAUUCUGUGAGGUUAUUAAAGAAUAUAAUUUUCAAAUCACGGUAAAAUCUUGAUUCAGAAACACAUGAGGAUAAUCAUUGUUUCCAUGGAAACCUUGGGAGACAGUUGAAAGCCUGGUCCCUGUUGCCUGGAGCAUUAGCCCAGCAUGGCUGCAAAGUUGGUCCUUUCCUGUUACCAUCUCCUGAGUACUGAACUACACGUAUGCGUGAACCUGCCCAUCUCUGCCUCUGUUAACAGCUGCCGUUGUCUCUUCACGAUAUUGUGGCUGACCUAGGUUGGAAGGAACAGAGCCAGUUGGCCAUGGACUGAAACUUUUGGAACUGAUUCUGAGGAGUUAAUGUUUCCAUGAAUAUCUCAGAAGGAGAUGUGGACAAAGGAACACUUGUCUCACUCUCGUAGCUGACUGAGCUUUUUUAAGAUGGCUGGUCUAAAUUCUUCAGAGAUGGCGCAGUGUCAGAAUCAUGUGUGGCCUCCUCCUGCCUGAACCAUGCCGCUAAGACAGUUGCCCACUGUGCAGUUUCACACCAUCUGCAGAGAGCAACACUGGCUUCGAGAGCCUUGCCAGUUACUGAAAGCCUGGCUGACUGCCAAGCUUUGCACUGUGGACUGAAAAUUGCUCUCUUUGCUGAGUUCAGUACUAAAAUUUAGAUCUUCAUGGUCUCCCGGGAGACCAUGUCAGCUGCUGUUCAAGUGAGAUAAAUUUGGAUCACCUGGAGAUAUGCACGCUCUAUGCCUUCCUUGACUGUCAGCUAAACAGUCUGCGCUCCUGGCUUAGUACAGCCUUGGCUGCUGAGAGCCCCCAUUCCUCCCCUGUGCUCUUCAUUGUCCUCAUGAUCUGACUUUCAUUAUACUCCUAACACUGGGAGUGAAGUGUCAUUGAAGAAUGUUCUUCAGGUACUACCUCAAAGGGCUGGAGAUGAAUGCUUUGAUUCUGCAUUCCUCCUAGGACACAUAUCAAGCCCCCAGAAUUUCUCACUGUCCAGUUGCACCAGUGUGAGGAAUUUGAUGGUUUUAGGAAAGUGAAAGUGCUCUUCUGGUCCAUAUAAAUGUCCGUGCAGAUCCAAAGCCAUGCAUUGCAUGGUAGCUCACCUUUAAUCCUAGCGCUCGGAAGACAGAGGCAGGCAGAUCUCUGUGAGCACAAGGCCAGCCUGGUCUACACAGUGAGUUCCAGGACAGCCAAGGCUACACAGGAAUCCUGUGUACAGGUCCUUGGUAUUGCACUCUUCUCUAUAAAUACAAUUUGUUUUUAGAAUGUGUGGUUUUUAAGUUGUUCUGUGCAGGCUGGAUAAAGGCUAGCCCACUAUUGCACCCAUCAGCUUGUUCCUGUCACUUCUUCUCACCUUUGAGCACUUAGCAUAUCUCUCUAUUUUGUCUUUGCUGAAAUGGUUUCUAAGGGGAAGCUCCUCUGUCGCUGUCCUCUAGCCCCAGCCAAGAUAUUUUCAAGAUUUUUCUUUGUCCUUCUGUAAUUUGAAUAUGAUGAAUGUUUUUAUUUAC